CCUGGGGGAUAAAACUCCAGAGUCUUUACAAAGGCCUACAAGGCCCUUCCUGAUCUGGCCCCAGUACCUCUCUGACAGUUUCUCCAGCUAGUCUGUCCUGGCUCCCUCUUCUCCAAUCCCUCUGCCCCAAAGAUUCUUCUCCCAGACCCACCGGGGCUCCUUCUCCCAUGUCCUUCUCAGGGAGGCCUUUCCUGCCCACCUUAUUUUAACUGUCUCCUGGCCCUCACUCCCCCCACUCCAGCAUUCCAUCUCCCUCUCCUGCUUUUUCCUCUCCUUAGCCCUCAGUACCUUGUUACAUGGUGUAUAAUUUAUUCUAGUGUCACCCCUUAGAAGCUUAGGGAGUUUUUAUUCCCCAUGUUCACUGCUGUAUCCCCAGUGCCCAGAUCAGUGCGCAGUGCUCAGUAUUUGUUGAGUGGAUGAAAGCAGACAAGAUUUUUGCCUGCGUGAGGCUUAUAUCAUAAUAGUUGCAAGUGCUGAUAAAUUCCUUCUGAGUACAGGAGGAUGGUUUUCUGUGUAAGAAAUAACAGUUUUGUGAAACUUGUUAUUGAAGUGGAAAAGACAUACAGAAAAGGGUGCAUCAUAAGUAUUGAGCUUGCUCAGUUUUAACCAACCAAAUACCUGUGAGCAACCAGCACCCAAAGCAAUAAACAGAAAUGACCAGCUUCUCCAGAGGCCCUCGAGGUGCUCUCUUUCAGUCACAACCAACUCCCUGCCCCUCAGUCACCAUCCUGAUUUCUAAUAGCACAGGUUGGUAUUACCUGUAUUUUACAUGAAGUCACCAUACAGUAUGAACUCUUGUUUCUGGCUUCUUUCACUUAAUAUUUUAUGUAUGAAAUCCAUCCAUAUUGUGGCAUGUAGACGUUACAAAAAUUUUGAAGAACAUAUUGUUGCAGAAGAGAUGUAUUCUUACUGAUGUCAAAAGAACUGCUUUGGUUGCUGUGUUGACUAUAGCUAAUGGUGGGUGUGGGGGGUACUGUGGCCAGGGAAGGAAGCAGGAAGACCAGCUGGGCUUGUGGGUCUGGUGGUGAUACUAAGGGGGAGACAGAAUGGCUGGAAUGUGGAUAGACCAAGGGAGAAAGCCAAUAGGAUUUGCUGAUGGAAUGGAUGUGGGGUAUGAGAGCAAGAGCAGGAUCAAGGAUGAAGCCAAUGUUCGUGGCUUGAGCAAUAAGGAUGGAGUCUCCAUUUACAGGGAUGGGAAAGGGUGUCAUGAGGGAGCAGGCAAGGCAGGAAGAUCAGGAGUUGUUCUGGAUGUUCCACGUGCCUAACAGACAUCCAGGCGGAGCUGUUAGAAGGUACAGGGAUCUCAUAGGAGUCUGGAGCUGGAGGAGAUCUUGAGAAGAAAGUCUGCUUGGUGUUGUGUUUAAAAGACAACAGGAGGAAGGCAAGUGAGGACAAAUAGAACAGACAGCAUUUCUAGACAUACUGCAAAUGGGAAAAGAGAUAUGUGCCGGUUGCUGGAAGGGGAUGUGGGGUCAAGAGAGGCUUCUCCCAAUUUUUCUUUUGCUUUAUGAAUUGAGAGAAAUGAUGGUAGUGAUUUGCUAAUGAGAAGCUCUAGAAAGGAAAACUCCAUGGAGAUUCUGUAAGAGAGGAACUACUCUCUUCACAAGGCAUGCCCAACACAGAACAGAGACCCUCAAGAAAUCUGUUAGUAAAUGACUUUGAAUUAACCAAACACAUCCCUAACAAGAGUUGUCUUAUGACAUCAUAAAUAAAACACCAGAGCACUUUCUUAGGAUUGCAGCUAGAACAAGGCAAGUGUGCCCUGCUAUGACAAAGCUUAUUAGAAAGGUCCAUAUAUGCGGUGGCCAGAACCUGCCUCCUGAAACCUGACCGAGGCUUAAAGACGAAGGAUCCCUGGGUCAGAUGAGAGCACAGGUGUCAGUGAGUAACGAUGCCACAAUUCUAGCCUCUUUAGAAAGUAUCACCUAUCUAUCACUGGUUUCUUCAAGAUGACCUACGCACAGGGGCUUACCCUGGAGCAGCACAGCAGAGUGUUGAGAGCACAGAUUGUAGACAGACACUGCCUGGGUGCAAAUCCAAGGUCUCCUGCUUAUGCCAUGGGCAAGUUCUUUAACUUCCAUGUGCUCAGUUUCCUUGGCUGUAUUUCAAGAUCAGUAAUAGUACCUAUUUCAUAGGAUUGCUGUGAGGAUUAAUGAAGUGAUGAUGUUCCCAGGCUCUGCACUAGAAACCAGAGAUUUGGCAAUGAUGAUGAUAAUGUCUUGUCCUCAGAAAACUUAGCAAACUUCUACAGCACAAAGGCAUAGCAAAACUGCAACUAAGUUGAAAGCACACAAUACUGGUUUUGGUUCUCAGUGUCGACAGGCAUGAGGUGAAGGUUUAAAAAACAAAAAAAAGUAACACCCAUGGAAAUUUAUCCAGCUAAAAAUGGUACACCUCUUUCUGAUCUGCUUCAGUGGCCCUUCUGCACAAGUGUGAUUUCUGCCCAGCAUGGUAAGAAACUGUAAACCACAACGGGGCAAGGCCAGGUAAUGAUCGGACACGUGCCUCAAAGUCAUUGGCUUUGGUUCUGUGAGCAGCUGAAGAGCCCCUGAUGUCAUCAGGUAAGGCAGCUCCGUGGUCAGAUCUGUGGGCAAAUGGACUGAAUGAUGGCAAAAUCUGAAGAUAAGGAGGCCAUUUCAGAAACUCUUCUCUGCAGUCCGUGUGGGAGAUAAUCAAGUCUGAACGACUGCAGCUGUGGUGGGGAGGUAGUGGAAAGGGCAGGUGAGGUAGAAACAAAAUGACUUGGUGACCAACUGGGUUUAGAGUAGAGGGAGAGGUAGAAAAAGUCAAGGAUAAUUCCCUGGCUACUGACUUGAGAAGAUACCUGUCUCCAUGUCACAUCAUCCUAUCAGCUUUCAAUUUUGAAUUCUGGCUUCCUGAGAAUGGUCACUGGGGCUUUGCCAUAUUUCCUUUGUCCUAAGGAAUGUCCCUAGGGGCUACUGACUCUAGAGGCAGAAACACAGAGGCAGCAACCACCAGCUGAAUGGUGAUGACGAGAGGGAAGCACCAGCCUCAUCUAUAUAACCUUCAGCAACCAGCAGUUCUUUACAUGACGUUCAGUUUAAUUCUGUACACAAAUAAUUAGGUCAAAUGUAGUUAUUUUGGACCCCAGUAGUACAAGGCACUAUGGAAAAUAAAAGCCAAGUGCAAGAGCAGGUUUCUUGAGAGUUAUACAGGAAAGCCAUGCAGUGCAAAGCAAAGAUUUUGUGGUUAGUCAGGUGCAAGUCUGACUUCUGGCUCCAUUACUGUCACUGGUUGUGUGACCUUGGGAAACUGAUAUCCUUGACACUUGAUUGCCUCCUCAGUAAAAUAUAUAGAUAAUAUAGCCCACCUCAUCUGUAACAAUUAAUGAGAUAUAUAUGUAAAAUUCCUACCAGCACCAUGCCUAACUUAUCAUAGGUUCAAAAGGUAAUAAUAAAGUAAAUAUCCUUCUUUAUUUCCCAUCCCCUUUGACUACUCAAAGACCUCUAGCCUCCAAUAGUGUCUAGUUAUCACCAAUGGGUAUUUCUCUCUACCUCCCUCACUCCCAUCUGCACCGAUGUCUAUUGUUAGAAAAAUGAAGCUACUAAAAGCAAAAUAGGAUGAUAUCUAUAUCAGAGAGUGUUGCAGUCCAUCCAAUAUUCACCUUUCCUUUCCUCCUCAUUAAUGAGUGCUGAUUUUGCUGGGGGUAGCAAAGUACCAAGCUAAAAACAUGUUCCAGGCUCCAUUGCCAUUAGGGGUAGCCAUGUGACACAUUAGGGCCAAUAAAUCUUGCUAGAGAGGUUUUGGAAAGUUUCUGGUCACAGGCACUUUUUUUCUUAAUGUUUAUUUAUUUUUUCACUUUUUUGAGAGAGAGAGAGAGAGAGAGAGAAAGAAAGAAUGAGAAUGAGAAUGAAUGAGGAUCCCAAACAGGCUCCACACUGUCAGUGGGGAGUCCAACUCAGGGCUCCAUCUCAAGCACCAUGAAAUCAGGAACUAGACCGAAAUCAUGAACUAGACCGAAAUCAAGAGUGGAUGCUUAACUGAUUGAGCCACCGGCACUUUUAUUCUCCCUUCACCAUCCUUCCUUUCCCCAACUUCCUGGAAACUGGAUAUAAUGGAUGGAGCUGCGAUAGCUAUCUUGCAAACCAUGAGGAAAAGAUCAAGAUUCAUAGGACAUUGGCCUUGAUAUGCUUGAGUUCCUAAAACAGUGCCUCCACCACCUUCCAAGAGCCUUGUCAUUACAUGGGACAAAUAAAGCCCUAAAUUUAA